UCUCUUCCUCUUCUAUGUUAACCCUAGCGUCACCUCGAGUUUCCCUCUUCUCUCUCCACUAAAAAUGGAAAAAAUACAGGGUUUAGCAGAAGAGCACAACUUUUGCAUAUAUAUUGUGGUGAAACAUUUAAUGUUUCACUUGGUUUCGCGAAAAGAUAAUCCCAAACAUGAUUUUGGACGAAACGGGAAGUGAACUUGGAAAGGCGUAAAGUGCGUAAAAGGUACAGAAGACAGAUUUGCUGACCGCCUGCCUAGGACAUCUAUUCUGCUAUAUUGGGAGCGCUCUUUUGUUCAGAGCCUGUAUAUUGGUACAGUUUGCCGCUAUUAUAUAUAUGUAUGCUAUUCAGGGGUAUGACGGGGCCCUGUCCCGUCUUAUGAUUAUGUUAUGAUCUGUAGAGGUCUGUAGACAUACUUGUGUGAGUUCUGUAUAUGUUCGGGUAUGAUACGAUCUGUGACAGCCUCAUCGGCCUCCAUGUACUGUGUCGGUUCUUUUAUGCUAA